ACUCAUCAAAGGUGAGAUUACGCUUUUGUUUUUGUUUUGUUAGAAUAAAGAUUACAACGAUUAAAUUUACACUUAUCAAUCAACCAAAGUUCAGAGGCCUUUCUCUUAGCUGUCAUGGUAGUUGUGUUUCUCUUCGUUCAAGGUCGCAACAUUCUCUUGUUUUCUUGCCAGAUUGCAGGUUCUUCCUUAUCGGAUCGGGGCGUUGGUUUGAUUUCGUUCUUGGAUCUUGUUGCUUCCUCUUUGGUAACCCUUUGCUGAAGGCUGGCUAAAAGGUGAGUUGAGUUGGAAGCUGAAUCACUCAAAGUAUGAAAAUGCAUACUGUAAUUUCUUCUCUUGUUCGUUCUUAGCUUGGUAAUCCUUAUAUGACUUUUUCUGAAUCGGCGUCUCGCAUGGUAUCUUAUUGCUGUGCCUUUACACGUCUCCGUGCUCUAAGAAGCUUACCCAUCUAAUUUCAGCAAUUCUUUGAAAAAUGUUUAAACUCUUUCUCUGGUUGACAUAUUAGGAUAUUAUUUGAUAAUUAUUUCGCUUUCAGUUUUUUAACUGAAAUGAUUAUUGUUUGAGCCAUAAAUUAGGCCUGCUAAGGCCUAUCCAUUUUAUUCACGCGAAAGUCGCAUGACUUUGGCCCACCAACUUCGAAGCUCAAACCAAUGCUCAGAGGACCAUCUCACUUAACUCCAACAUGUCUAAGGCUUGAAUAGAAAUCUCUUCGAAGUGUUUCUUCCACGCAAGCGACCCAGGUCUGAAAGUAUUUCGUCUCCUUAAAUACCUAUGCAUGCAUCAUCCACAUGCUGAUGCCACAAACACGUCAUCCGACACAAUAUGUCACUACCACCACCUAGAAAUUACAGUCACUGUUAGCAUCAAAUGACCGAUUUACCCCUGCUCCAGCUUAACAAUGUGAUCGAGGUUGGUUUUUUUCCUGUGCCUAUAAAUAGAGCCACAUGCCUUCAAGCUCAGGACCUUUGUCAAAUUUAAUCAACCCAAAUGUUUUUCCAGCACAAACCCAAUUGCUUUUCAGCAAAACUUUUUAGCUUUUUAGCUACAAUAUCAAGCCUUCUUUCGAAGCAAACACUGCCUAUGAUCCUUGUGAUCCAAAACCUUUACAGCUCAGUCACCCUGUAGUAAAAUUCGAUUGAUUUGCAUUUCCAACCACCAUGAAUUUCUCUCUAAGGCGCAUGUUUUGUACUAAGUCCAGUCUAAUACUAGUGAUCUCGAUGGACUACUCUAGCAUUAUCUUGCUCUUUAUGGCCUGAAUUUUGCUAGAGUUUAAUUGCUUUCUUUACAUUUCCAAUCAAUUUACAUUUCAAGUCAUGUAGCUUGGCCCAUCUGCCUAAAUUUUACUUUUGUAAACGUUUGUAACCUUGACUUCAUCAUGAAAUAAUUGCAUUAUGUUUCUCAUUUUAGUUUCUAUUUCGCUUUCAUUUACUUUUUAGGCAAGCAUACAGGAAGUUACACUGAAUUUUAAGUCCUUGUUCGCUCGAUACACAUAAAAGAAUUUAACCAAAUCAAUGUCCUACUCAAUACACAAUCUUUUGUUUAAGAAGUCAAAUUUAACACAACUUUCACACACGGGCGAACACAACAUUGUUGUUGGCAACCUCUAACACUGACAAGCCUCUCUCUUUCUCUCGAGCCAUCCUGUAACGCUGAGACCAAAAAUAACACUCGCAGCAGUAUGUGUUGUACUCAAUUUAGAUUCUAUCUGAGUUUUGACACCAACAAUUGUGUUACAAAGCUUAUAAUUUUGUACAUUUCUUUCGUUCUUGGUCUUUUUCCAAGUAUUUUUUAAUUGCUAAUCUUUUAUUACAAACGAACAUAUAAAGGGAAAAAAAAAACCUUACAUUAUUGUUUAUCUAUAAAUGAGAAGACUGGCUACUCUGGACAUGUAGGUUAAUUAACAAUUAGAUAGCCCAUAGCUGCAGCCUCUUUUGAAGAUUGCCCCAACUCAAUCUAUUGAAGCUGUCGGGUUAAAACCUACUUGUUGGCCGAAGAUCUUUGGGACAUCGUCGAAGGCACCAAUGAACCUACGGAUGUAAUUUUUUUUAUCGACGUUUCCAAACGAGGCAAAGCUCCUAAAACAGAUGAAACAAAAAGAUGAACGUAAGGCUUGGAGGAGGAAGGAUGCCAGGGCCUUAUAUGCAAUCCAGAGUUUUUGUGGGGACGAUACUUGUGAGUUUUUCAAGAGCGCAAUCACGGCAAAAGAAGCAUGGGAUAUUUUGUCAAAUAAAUUGAUGCCACAUUAUAUACAGUCAACCAUCAGACAGAACAAGAACAGAGCAUAUUGUAUCAUGUGUGAAGCCUAGCGAUCUUACGUGCUCCACUUCACUCGAUUUGUGUUGUCCACGUAUUAAGCUUGAAAAUUCACAUGAGGGAGCUUGUUGAGAGUGAAUCCCACAUCGGAGAAAAGAGGGACCUUGCUUGUGCUUUUUAGUAGCUGCGUUGCCUUCUCAUUUACCAGUUGGUUUUACGGUGGAAUCCUAAUUUUCUAUGACAAUUGAAGAGGGGAGGGCGGAGAAAAAGGGAGGGGGUGGGGAGGGAUGGAGCUGAUCAACACACGGCAAUGGUCACACGUGCUCCAUGUCAUUCGAUUUGUGUUGUCCACGUGUUAAGCUUAAAGAUUCACCACAUAUGAGGAAGCUUGUUGAGAGUGAAUUCCACAUCAGAAAAAAUAGGGAUCUUACUUGUGCUUAUUAGUAGGCGUAUUACCUAGUAUUUUGUAUUUAUUAUGGAUUAAUAAAGCAUUCUGAUUAGUAGCUGAACUUCUCACACACGUAGGCAUUUGUAAGAAAGGAAAAGAAAAGACAAAUUAAGAAUUGAUGGUAACAUUGACCAUCAAGAUUUCCAUUUUCAAAUGAGAGGUCACUUCUUCAAGCGUAUCCAGCCCCGAUGAUGAUGGGCCAACCCCAACUGAUCGUGAAGCUAGGCCAGAGCUCGCAAUGGAAGGAGGGCUCAAUGCAGGACAUGAGAGCAAUGCAAACGAUAUUCAUGCAACUUUCGUCAAAUAUGUGAAGUCUAAUGAUUGGGAUAAAGCGAUCCAGUUUCUUCGCGACCAUCCCCAGGUAGGAAGUGAAAGAAUUUCAAUUGGCGGUACAGCUCUUCGCUACGCAGUCCGGCCGCUUAACAACUGCAGCGUGCGCAAUAUAGAACAAUUGGUGGAGUUAAUGGCAAAGGAAGAUUUGGCAAUUCAAGACACAUUCGGUCCACAGCUCUGUAUCUUUUAAUAACAUUUCGUCAAAACAGGGUUGAAGUAGCCAAACGCAUGGUUGAAAAGAAUGACAAAUUACUUAGUAUUUUACCUUCCGGCACUGACGCCUCUAGUUGUCUUCGCUCGGAGUUUGUCAAAUGGGGAAAGAAUGGCUCGUUAUCUCUGUUCUGUUACUCCACGCCAAACACUGCACGUUACCGAUGCCUCUCAACUGAUUUCUCUCGGCUUUCGUUACAAACGAUUUGGUAAGAGAGGGAAUCGACUGACUUUCAAACAUGACCAA